UCCCUCCCUGGGUUGCUGCCAUUUUAUGUAAGUGUGCAACCCCACAUGCAUCUGGUACAAUGAACGAUCUUGCUGAUUGCAUCAUGACUGGUGGUCUUUUGGGGACUUCUCUCGGACCCUAACAGUCACAACAUAACAAGCAGAUGGUCACUGUACAUUUCCAGGAGGGGAAUUGGUGAUAGUUUGCAGUGUAAACAGUACAAGCCAGUGUGGGACAAAUGAGUUCCAAUUUGACACCCUCUGCUGCCAACUUUGUCCUGCUGGCACAUACAUCUUUAAACAAUGCCAGGAAAACCAUGGUAAGAGUGAAUGUAUCCCAUGUGAAUCUGGAUUCUUUAUGAACCACAAUAACAGUGAGUCUAGCUGUUUUCGCUGCUCUCAGUGUCGGGAUGACCAAGAAGAGGUGUCUGAAUGCUUCCAGACUUCUGAUCGUGAGUGCCAGUGUAAGCAGGGUACCUACUGUAACUCUGAAAACUGUGUGGAGAGGUGCCUUUCAUGCAGCAGCUGUCCUAAAGACAAAGUCAUCAGGCAAUGCAAUGCCACGAUGAAUACACUGUGUGAAAUGUCAGAUUCAGAGUCAGGACAGUCAGGCUUUCAUUGUCUCUGCCUGCCUAAAGCUCUGAAUAUUGUAGUUGUCAUAGCUGCUGUCAUCAUCAUCAUUGCUGCUGUCAUCAUCAUCAUUGCUGCUGUCAUCAAAACCAGUUGGUAUUUUUGUAAAAGAGGGAGUCUAAAUUCACCAUGUGUUCCAGGAGAGGAGAUUCGGCUCUCCUCCAACACGCUAACGGAGUUAUGAAGUUCUAAUGAGCAAACAAAUGACAUUCAUGAAGCUCACUGGAUUUAAAGACAUUGAUUUUCCUGAGCACGAGCAUAGAGGAAGCAGUGAACACAGCAAGCUUGGUAGUGCUUGUGGAAUGUCCCUUUAUGUGGUGUGAAUAUAUGUCACUGUGACCAGUUUAAUAAAGAAGCUGACUAGCCAGGAGCUGGACAGGUAGAGGUUAGGCAGGAGUAAAACUAAGAGGAUGUUGGGAAGAAGAUCAGAGUCUGGAAGUUGCGAGUAGACACAAAGAGAAGCAAGAUGAGCAUGCUGUACUGAGUCUUGUGUCCAAGUCUGAAAGAUCCCCAAAGACAACCAGGGAGAUAAACCCACCGAACCGUAAAAGCAAGGUUUUAUUAUUUCAUCCAACCAUGACAGGGACCUCGUCUAGCUGGCUGAUGCAGCAGCCACCAGAGGAAGCAAAGUUCCCUGUCUACUGCUAAGACAAAAGUUAAGGAUUACAUCAGUAGAGACAGGCCAGCUGCUGGCGCCACCCCAUUUCCUCCAAGAAGACUGGUGGGCACUGAAGAAAGUCCAUCUCACUUUAGUGGCAACGCUAGUCACUGAGCAACCCUGCUCUUCACUUCAACUGCUGCAAAGGACUCUUUGGACCAUGGACAACAGGACAGUGGAAUCAACUUUACCCACAUUGCUUGGGUCAACAGUAGGUCUAAAGAGGUGCCAGAGUUCCUAACAGCCUGAACUAAGAUGAAACAACCAGCUACCCCAGGACGUGGCAGCAUCCCAGCUUUCUCAGGACCCCCAAAGAUGGUGAAUACCCCCAAGGUCAGCAGGAAGCAGCCUUGAGAACUCUACGUCCCCGUUCCCUAACCUGCCACACCCAACUCUCCACCUUUUAUGAUAAACAAGAGUCGGGAUUGUUAGGACUGACACAAGGCUUACGCCACCCCCUGAUGACUGAUGGGGCACACACAGGGACGAGCUAUGCCAUCACCAUAUCACUUGUCACGCAUUACAGACCUGUGUGAGGACAAUGCCCAUGGGUGGAACCUCAGUGAGCAUGUGGGUCUUCCCUUUAAAAGUUCCAACUUCCUCUGCCUCCCCCUUUUUGUCUCUCCUUGGAUUGGCUGACAAUCCACCCCCAUCUCCCUCCCCCCAACUUUUCAAUAAACUCCA